UCAGGUGGCUGGAAAGGAAUAAUUGUGGUUUCCAAAACUGUUUUUAUUUUCUUAGUUGUACUUGAUCAGGAGAUUGCAUCAUCCCAAUUUGGAGGUGGCAACCUUAUCUCUCCUAUUUGUUGGGUUGUUAUAACAUUCUCUGCCCAGUACUAUAAUUUCAAACUAUUUGGAGGCUGCUGCUUCAUGCUGAAUAGGUUGUGCCCAAGGUAGUAUUUACCAUGAGAGGUAUUUUGACAUGUAUGCCAUCAUUUGCAACUGCUUAUAAAUGACUUGGGGCUGAAGAUGUAAAUGUUGAUCUUCAGUCUGAAAGGCCUAGAUUAUUUAACUCGUUUAGUCACCUUUAGAAGACCGACAGCUUUUUAAUUACAAAAUCUGUUGCUCUCCCCUUCCAUUCGGUCUUGCUGUGUCUCUUUGGAGUUUACUGAAAUACCCAGGAGCUGUGUAUUAAUUCAGUUAGCUCUAGGCUGGCUUCUUCACCACGUUUAGCCAAGUUCAAAACUAAGCAUUACUCUUAGAGAUGAAGCUGUGGAGUUAUAAAUUAUUGGGAAAGUGUACGUGGAAAAUGCUAAGCGUGAAUGAUUUGGAUAUUUUCCAGGUUUUGCAUAUUACAGGCUUUUGCCUGACUAAUUUGUACUUUGUGCCCAUUCUAAACCUAAAACCACGAUCAGAAAACCAAAGAGAAUCCUUCUGAGACCAUUUAAACCUACCUUCUCUGUAAGAAAAGUGAGGCGCUUUCUCCUUUCCUGAAAACCCCCAUUAAAACAAUACACGGCCUUGACUCCAGAAGCAAGAAGCAGCAGGACAGGAGUCAGGACUGAAGGAGGAGACUACAUGAAAAAGACACAGUCCAAGCAGCAGCAAAGAUGCAACAGGAAUUGUCUAUGGGCAUGUAUCCAGGCAGAUCCGCUCAUCGCUCCCUCCAUCACGUGCGGCUGAUGUCCAAGAGAAGCUGUGUUGACUGGUCAGUGUCACAGCAGAGCGGGGAAGAGCGUCAUUCAAUGUUUGGAUAACAUAUCCAUCCAUCCUCCUGGCUGUCCAAACACGUAGGGUGACGUGGACAGAGAAGGCACCCACCCGACUGGCCCGACAAGCCGCCUGUGCCGUGUGGCUGUUUCCUGCUGAGGGCCAUCAGCUGAGCAGGUGGUGGGGCAGCUCGGCAGCGGUGGCUGCGGUGACAUCUCUGCUGUCAGGUUUGCACAAUGCCCUGGGAAUUCCUGGAAUGGACAGGAAUGAUGUACAUAGGAGGUAUUCCUGGCAUCAUUACACACCAUGGGAAGAGACUGGAUUGCAGUGGUCCUAUAAAUUUCUUUCAUUCAUCUCUGCUGAAGUCAACAGUUGAAAGCAAUUUUAAGCACUUGGAUCAUACAGAAUAUAUAAAUACCUGUAUUCUGUCUAGCUGUAACAAUUCAAUGAUAAGUGUGACUCCCUGGUGAAUGAACAGGAUAUCACAAGCUCACUUUAUCUUCCAAAUGGGUCAGAGUUGAACCUUUUUCUGUAUUUCCAAACUCAUUUUCUCGUAACAGGUUAGGAUUUUACGUGGAAAAGGCGUUGUUGUAGUUCUCAGACUACAGUCACAACAGAAACAUCUCUAGAUCUUCUGAAGAUAUUUAAAAUAAAUCUGUUGCAACCUGCAAUUUGGUUCCACUUUCUAAUGAGCACCUUGUUUUUUACAUAUAAUUUGGGCUUAUGUAUUCUGCCUAUUCAGCUUUAUGUAUUCCACAUAUGUAGAUCCAGUAACCUUGAAUCAACAGGUAUCCCUUCACAACUACUUUAAGGAGAAUUAAGAUUAAUUAACCUUCAUAGGCAAUAAUGACCUUUCCUGUUUGUGUACCAUUGUCUCAAAUAAUGAUGUUGUACCCCUUUCUUCAGAUAACCUAUUUUCAAUAACAACGUAGUUUUGUUAGAGAUGACAAAAAAUGUCUAUAGUGUCUUACAAGAAGAGCAAUUUUGCAUUUUUUAAAAUGGUGCUAUUAUAGCAUUUUUUAAAAUUUCAACAGCCAUUUACAAAUGCUGAAAGUUUCAUCUGACAGCUGGUUGAAAAAUGUGGAAAAUACUGAAGCGAGCUCAGGAGUCAGAUUAUUUUGGCUAGUGUGAGUAUUUUUCUAGGCCUUAAAAAUAAGGCAGUGGGGUAAAACAAAUUCUGAUCUUAGCAUUAGACUUGCAGGCAGAGUGUAAUAUGUGUGUUGCAUUUUCCAGUGUAUUUUGGCCCUUCUACUCAAUAUACAAGGAACAUAUAUAUAGACAUAUAUAGUCUCAACUUUUCUGUACUUAUAUGUUCAGUUGAGCUGUGUUUGGAUUUUGAAGGCCAUGCAUAUAAGUACACACGCAUGUGUAUGUACACAGUCCUAAGUCCAGCUCUGAACAUACACAUACAAUAUAUGCAUAAUGUGUGCUUAUAUUGCACUUGAUGCCUUGCUGAAGUCUUUCAACCAGAGAUCUCAAAGUAUUUUAAAGUCGUUUAAGAACCAAAUAUCCUAUGAGUGUAGUCAUGAGCUACUGGCAUACCUUGCCCCCUCUUCACAUAUUUCACUAGCAGUGUGUUCAGUUCUGUGCCUCUCUGUAUCCACAAUAGAUAAAAUUAACCCUGUCAUCACUAUUGCAAACUGGAGAUAUUUACAAGUUUCCUAGUGACUAGAAGUGAGCUAUUUUCUCCAAGUCCUUGCUCAUUAGCAGGCCUAGGAGCAACACCCAGGACUGUUCCUGUCCUGAGCCAUGUACUCAUCAUCAGAGCAGGUGAUCUCUCCAACAUCUCAUUUUGCCACACACUGUUCCUUUAGAUUUUCAUAUCCUGCUCAUCAUCCUGAAACAGAAGAAAAGAUGCUUGAAGCACCUUCAGUUCCAAACAGAUUGUUCAGAACCUCACAGGAUUUGUCCCAAUUUGUCAGAGGAGACACAAGUGCGGUGAUCAUCAGCUGGGUGAAUCCCAAAGGAGGACCACAGGGUUUUCGUUAGACACUUCGAUGAGCUGAGCACAGAGCCAUCAGCAUCCCAGGUCUGCUCUGAACAUCACAGAAAGAAAAACAAAGUUUUAAAUUAAAAAAAGAAAUCCCAUGAAGAUUAAUCUUUCGAAAGCCGCAGUCCAUCUGGAUGUCUUCUUCCUUGGUAUUAAUUAUGAAGACCCGCCCUGUAAUCCAUAAGCAAAAUAUGAGUGAGAUGUAAGCUUGCUGCUGUUGUGUUUAAUAUUUUUCUCGCUAACAGGCAUCUAAUCCACCGCAACCAGGAAUUCAUCAGGCCUCAGGGGCUACCUAAAGCACACAAUCCCUCUAAAUGAGCAGUAAUCUCCUCCGCUGAAUCUUCAGUCUCCUGAACUAAUAAGUGAUGCUAAAGGCUCAUUUGCCUUGAAAGCUCCCAUCGGUGGAGGGGACAACACUGCUCCCAGCUCGGGGUGUAUCAGUGUGCAGAACCCUGAGAUGAGUGCGGGCGAAGAGACAGAUUCCUGGCAUUUUUAUUUCACUUCUACCUUGGCACUCCAGCGCUCUGCUGAAAUUUGUGAGCUGCGUGAACGCCAGACUAAAAAGAUCCCACUAA